GACGAACGCUGGCGGCGUGCUUAACACAUGCAAGUCGAACGGGUCUGCCCUGUUUUUUGCGGGGUGGGUCAGUGGCGAACGGGUGAGUAACACGUGAGUAACCUGCCCCUCACUUCUGGAUAACCGCUUGAAAGGGUGGCUAAUACGGGGUGUUCUGGCUGUGCCGCAUGGUGUGGCUGGGAAAGAUUCACUUUUGUGGUGUUUUGGUGGGGGAUGGGCUCGCGGCCUAUCAGCUUGUUGGUGGGGUGAUGGCCUGCCAAGGCUUUGACGGGUAGCCGGCCUGAGAGGGUGGGCGGUCACACUGGGACUGAGCUACGGCCCAGACUCCUGCGGGAGGCAGCAGUGGGGGGUAUUGCACAAUGGGCGGAAGCCUGAUGCAGCGACGUCGCGGGAGGGAUGGAGGCCUUCGGGUUGUGAACCUCUUUCGCCGGUGAAGAAGGUCCUGCUCUUUGUGGUGGGGUUGACGGUAGCCGGGUUAUGAAGCGCCGGCUAACUACGUG
rnacentral:rRNA from 1 species